GGGACACGUGGUAUCCUGUCUGAAUAUGGGGGGACCAUCCUCCAAGGCUAAAUACUCCUGACUGACCGAUAGUGAACCAGUACCGUGAGGGAAAGGCGAAAAGAACCCCGGCGAGGGGAGUGAAAAAGAACCUGAAACCGUGUACGUACAAGCAGUGGGAGCACGCUUAGGCGUGUGACUGCGUACCUUUUGUAUAAUGGGUCAGCGACUUAUAUUCUGUAGCAAGGUUAACCGAAUAGGGGAGCCGAAGGGAAACCGAGUCUUAACUGGGCGUUAAGUUGCAGGGUAUAGACCCGAAACCCGGUGAUCUAGCCAUGGGCAGGUUGAAGGUUGGGUAACACUAACUGGAGGACCGAACCGACUAAUGUUGAAAAAUUAGCGGAUGACUUGUGGCUGGGGGUGAAAGGCCAAUCAAACCGGGAGAUAGCUGGUUCUCCCCGAAAGCUAUUUAGGUAGCGCCUCGUGAAUUCAUCUCCGGGGGUAGAGCACUGUUUCGGCAAGGGGGUCAUCCCGACUUACCAACCCGAUGCAAACUGCGAAUACCGGAGAAUGUUAUCACGGGAGACACACGGCGGGUGCUAACGUCCGUCGUGAAGAGGGAAACAACCCAGACCGCCAGCUAAGGUCCCAAAGUCAUGGUUAAGUGGGAAACGAUGUGGGAAGGCCCAGACAGCCAGGAUGUUGGCUUAGAAGCAGCCAUCAUUUAAAGAAAGCGUAAUAGCUCACUGGUCGAGUCGGCCUGCGCGGAAGAUGUAACGGGGCUAAACCAUGCACCGAAGCUGCGGCAGCGACGCUUAUGCGUUGUUGGGUAGGGGAGCGUUCUGUAAGCCUGUGAAGGUGUGCUGUGAGGCAUGCUGGAGGUAUCAGAAGUGCGAAUGCUGACAUAAGUAACGAUAAAGCGGGUGAAAAGCCCGCUCGCCGGAAGACCAAGGGUUCCUGUCCAACGUUAAUCGGGGCAGGGUGAGUCGACCCCUAAGGCGAGGCCGAAAGGCGUAGUCGAUGGGAAACAGGUUAAUAUUCCUGUACUUGGUGUUACUGCGAAGGGGGGACGGAGAAGGCUAUGUUGGCCGGGCGACGGUUGUCCCGGUUUAAGCGUGUAGGCUGGUUUUCCAGGCAAAUCCGGAAAAUCAAGGCUGAGGCGUGAUGACGAGGCACUACGGUGCUGAAGCAACAAAUGCCCUGCUUCCAGGAAAAGCCUCUAAGCAUCAGGUAACAUCAAAUCGUACCCCAAACCGACACAGGUGGUCAGGUAGAGAAUACCAAGGCGCUUGAGAGAACUCGGGUGAAGGAACUAGGCAAAAUGGUGCCGUAACUUCGGGAGAAGGCACGCUGAUAUGUAGGUGAAGUCCCUCGCGGAUGGAGCUGAAAUCAGUCGAAGAUACCAGCUGGCUGCAACUGUUUAUUAAAAACACAGCACUGUGCAAACACGAAAGUGGACGUAUACGGUGUGACGCCUGCCCGGUGCCGGAAGGUUAAUUGAUGGGGUCAGCGCAAGCGAAGCUCUUGAUCGAAGCCCCGGUAAACGGCGGCCGUAACUAUAACGGUCCUAAGGUAGCGAAAUUCCUUGUCGGGUAAGUUCCGACCUGCACGAAUGGCGUAAUGAUGGCCAGGCUGUCUCCACCCGAGACUCAGUGAAAUUGAACUCGCUGUGAAGAUGCAGUGUACCCGCGGCAAGACGGAAAGACCCCGUGAACCUUUACUAUAGCUUGACACUGAACAUUGAGCCUUGAUGUGUAGGAUAGGUGGGAGGCUUAGAAGUGUGGACGCCAGUCUGCAUGGAGCCGACCUUGAAAUACCACCCUUUAAUGUUUGAUGUUCUAACGUUGACCCGUAAUCCGGGUUGCGGACAGUGUCUGGUGGGUAGUUUGACUGGGGCGGUCUCCUCCUAAAGAGUAACGGAGGAGCACGAAGGUUGGCUAAUCCUGGUCGGACAUCAGGAGGUUAGUGCAAUGGCAUAAGCCAGCUUGACUGCGAGCGUGACGGCGCGAGCAGGUGCGAAAGCAGGUCAUAGUGAUCCGGUGGUUCUGAAUGGAAGGGCCAUCGCUCAACGGAUAAAAGGUACUCCGGGGAUAACAGGCUGAUACCGCCCAAGAGUUCAUAUCGACGGCGGUGUUUGGCACCUCGAUGUCGGCUCAUCACAUCCUGGGGCUGAAGUAGGUCCCAAGGGUAUGGCUGUUCGCCAUUUAAAGUGGUACGCGAGCUGGGUUUAGAACGUCGUGAGACAGUUCGGUCCCUAUCUGCCGUGGGCGCUGGAGAACUGAGGGGGGCUGCUCCUAGUACGAGAGGACCGGAGUGGACGCAUCACUGGUGUUCGGGUUGUCAUGCCAAUGGCACUGCCCGGUAGCUAAAUGCGGAAGAGAUAAGUGCUGAAAGCAUCUAAGCACGAAACUUGCCCCGAGAUGAGUUCUCCCUGACUCCUUGAGAGUCCUGAAGGAACGUUGAAGACGACGACGUUGAUAGGCCGGGUGUGUAAGCGCAGCGAUGCGUUGAGCUAACCGGUACUAAUGAACCGUGAG
rnacentral:rRNA from 1 species